rnacentral:rRNA from 1 species
GUGCCAGCAGCCGCGGUAAUACGUAGGGUGCAGGCGUUAAUCGGAAUUACUGGGCGUAAAGCGUGCGCAGGCGGUUUCUUAAGUCAGAUGUGAAAGCCCCGGGCUUAACCUGGGAACUGCGUUUGAAACUGGGAGACUUGAGUGUGGCAGAGGGGGGUGGAAUUCCACGUGUAGCAGUGAAAUGCGUAGAUAUGUGGAGGAACACCGAUGGCGAAGGCAGCCCCCUGGGCUAACACUGACGCUCAUGCACGAAAGCGUGGGGAGCAAACAGGAUUAGAUACCCUGGUAGUCCACGCCCUAAACUAUGUCAACUGGUUGUCGGGAGAUUAACUCUCUUGGUAACGAAGCUAACGCGUGAAGUUGACCGCCUGGGGAGUACGGCCGCAAGGUUAAAACUUAAAUGAAUUGACGGGG